UACGGGAGAAAGCAGGGGACCUUCGGGCCUUGCGCUAUCAGAUGAGCCUAGGUCGGAUUAGCUAGUAGGUGAGGUAAUGGCUCACCUAGGCGACGAUCCGUAACUGGUCUGAGAGGAUGAUCAGUCACACUGGAACUGAGACACGGUCCAGACUCCUACGGGAGGCAGCAGUGGGGAAUAUUGGACAAUGGGCGAAAGCCUGAUCCAGCCAUGCCGCGUGUGUGAAGAAGGUCUUCGGAUUGUAAAGCACUUUAAGUUGGGAGGAAGGGCAGUAAGCUAAUACCUUGCUGUUUUGACGUUACCGACAGAAUAAGCACCGGCUAACUCUGUGCCAGCAGCCGCGGUAAUACAGAGGGUGCAAGCGUUAAUCGGAAUUACUGGGCGUAAAGCGCGCGUAGGUGGUUCGUUAAGUUGGAUGUGAAAGCCCCGGGCUCAACCUGGGAACUGCAUCCAAAACUGGCGAGCUAGAGUAUGGUAGAGGGUGGGUGGAAUUUCCUGUGUAGCGGUGAAAUGCGUAGAUAUAGGAAGGAACACCAGUGGCGAAGGCGAC
rnacentral:rRNA from 1 species